ensembl:lncRNA
AUCUACACUGGUCUCCCCAGUGCCAAACACAUCCUCCCUGCCAGACUUGGAGCUGCGCUUGUACCCAUUCUCGGCUGUCCUCUCUGAAUCCUCUGGGACCCUCCCAGCUCAAGGUCUUCUCCUCUCUGAGCUUGUCCCCACCACCUCUGCACAGCGCUGUCUCCCCACGAGCUCCUGCAAGGUUGAGUUCUGAGUUAUCUGGCCUUUGAUGCAUGCAGACUGGCUUUCCUGUGAACUUUGCCUGUGCCCCUGUCUUUGGUUUUCCUGACACUUUGUUCAGUCGCUAAGUCGUGUCCGACUCUUUGCGACCCCAUGGACUGCAGCAUGCCAGGCUUCCCUGUCCUCCACUAUCUCCCAGAGUUUGCUCAAACUCAUGUCCACUGAGUCAGUGAUUCCAUCCAACCAUCUUGUCCUCUGUUGUCCCCUUCUCCUGCCUUCAGUCUUUCCCAGCAUCAGGGUCUUUUCCAACGAGUCGGCUCUUUGCAUCAGGUGUCCUGGGGCUGGAUUUUCCUCUCCUUUCUCUGGUGUCAUCCACCUUGGGUCUCAGCCCCUCAUCACAAUCAAGAACUGAUGACCGGGUGAUUGGUGACAUUUUUCUUUUCCUCUUGACACUAGUUCAUUUAUAUCUGAAUCACCCUUAUCAUUCAGGAAUGACAGGACAAAGCUGCUUCUGAACAAAGUGAACAAACUGAACAAACCCAUGCUAAUUCUUGCCUUCCUAACAGACUGUCAGCCACCCACAGCUGCCACGGUGGGGCCUGUGGUGGACAGAAGAGACUGAGUCAGCUCAUUCAUAAACAGCGAAAGUUAAGAGUUGCCUUGGCCUCUGGGAAGGGAUUCUUGAGAAGCCUUUUGUUUUCACCCAGCUUUUCCUGAAAAAUCAGGAAAACAAUGUGAUUGUUUCUCAGAAAUACAGAAAUAUACCAUCUUUUCUUAAUUGGCCCAGAGCAAAUAUUUUUAGUAAGGGCUGAUUUUUUUUUGCAGAAAAAUAAGACUUGGGGAUUUUUUUUUUUCCUGCAGACAUAUACUGGACAAAAGAUGUCUCUUCUAUCAGCAGAGUGAUGAUGGUGAAGAUGGUGAUGGAGGUGUAUAUGGAUGGUCAAAACUGGCUGGACAUGUUCCUUCCCCUUUGUACCUGAGUGUGGACACAUGGAGCUUCUGUUUCUUGUUUUUAACCCUGAGAGCAUCAUCCCAAUCUUGUUGCCGGACUGCUCCAGUACUCAAGUCUGAGAUGCUGACUCUGAUGCGUAUCAUUAAGGAAUCAAAGUUUAGCGAACAGCUUCCACCCACUCCAGACUCCUUUCCACAACCUCUUCCUGGAGUGGGCAUCUCCUACAUUUAUAGGACAAUGUACCACAUUGACAAAUUUUGCCUUUUCCCCAACAAGCCACUUCACAGGCUGUCAGACCUGCCUGUUCCUGACAAGGGCUGUUCUUGUCGUGGGCGGACCUCAGUUUCAGGGGGACGGCGAUGAGGCUGGAGCUCAGAGAGAUGGAGAAGCCUCUGAAGCCGCAGCAGCAGGAGCAGAAGGCACAGCCGCAGGGCCCUCUGGAAAGAACAGAGAAGAGAAGUGGAUGCUGCAGACCUGAGCCAGGAUGUUCUCUGUGAUGUCAGGUGAGCUGUGCCUCCCCCUCCAACCUACCCAGCACAGACACACUGGAAAGUGGCUUUUCAAAUGCCUUUGACUCUUAUCUCUCUUACAUCACCCUCUGAAAUGAAAUCUCAAACACUUUAGUGGGGUUUGAUGCAGAGAACAGUAAGCAGAUGGAGGUUCAGGCAGAAACAGAGCAGGAGUCAAAAGCCCUGGAGAAAAGCAUGAAUGGGCUUGGAGAGGACAAAUAAAAUAGCAGAGACAUUUAUACA